rnacentral:misc_RNA from 1 species
GAUGAAGAACGCAGCGAAAUGCGAUAAGUAGUGUGAAUUGCAGAAUUCAGUGAAUCAUCGAAUCUUUGAACGCACAUUGCGCCCCUUGGUAUUCCAUGGGGCAUGCCUGUUCGAGCGUCAUUUGUACCUUCAAGCUUUGCUUGGUGUUGGGUGUUUGUCUCGCCUUUGCGUGUAGACUCGCCUUAAAAUAAUUGGCAGCCGGCGUAUUGAUUUCGGAGCGCAGUACAUCUCGCGCUUUGCACUCAUAACGACAGCGUCCAAAAGUACAUUUUACACUCUUGACCUCGGAUCAGGUAGGGAUACCCGCUGAACUUAAGCAUAUCAAUAAGCGGAA